GAUGAACGCUGGCGGCGUGCUUAACACAUGCAAGUCGAACGAUGAAGCCCAGCUUGCUGGGUGGAUUAGUGGCGAACGGGUGAGUAACACGUGAGUAACCUGCCCUUAACUCUGGGAUAAGCCUGGGAAACUGGGUCUAAUACCGGAUAGGAGCGUCCACCGCAUGGUGGGUGUUGGAAAGAUUUAUCGGUUUUGGAUGGACUCGCGGCCUAUCCGCUUGUUGGUGAGGUAAUGGCUCACCAAGGCGACGACGGGUAGCCGGCCUGGGAGGGUGACCGGCCACCCUGGGCCUGCGACACGGCCCAGACUCCUACGGGAGGCAGCAGUGGGGAAUAUUGCACAAUGGGCGAAAGCCUGAUGCAGCGACGCCGCGUGCGUGAUGACGGCCUUCGGGUUGUAAACCUCUUUCAGUAGGGAAGAAGCGAAAGUGACGGUACCUGCAGAAGAAGCACCGGCUAACUACGUG
rnacentral:rRNA from 1 species